rnacentral:rRNA from 1 species
CCUACGGGGGGCAGCAGUGGGGAAUAUUGCACAAUGGGGGAAACCCUGAUGCAGCGACGCCGCGUGAGUGAAGAAGUAUUUCGGUAUGUAAAGCUCUAUCAGCAGGGAAGAAAAAAGACGGUACCUGACUAAGAAGCCCCGGCUAACUACGAGCCAGCAGCCGCGGUAAAAUGCAGGGGGCAAGCGUUAUCCGGAUUUACUGGGGGUAAAGGGAGCGUAGGCGGUGCGUCAAGUCUGGAGGGAAAAGGAGGGGCUUAACCCCUGAACUGCUUUUGAAACUGCCAAGCUAGAGUGCUGGAGAGGUAAGUGGAAUUCCUGGUGUAGCGGUGAAAUGCGUAGAUAUUAGGAAGAACACCAGUGGCGAAGGCGGCUUACUGGACAGUAACUGACGUUGAGGCUCGAAAGCGUGGGGAGCAAACAGGAUUAGAUACCCCAGUAGUC